AUCGCUUCUCAGCCUUUUGGCUAAGAUCAAGUGUAGAAUCUGUAGCCAAGUAGGCUUAUAGCAAUUAAGCAACUAAGUCUACUUGAUUGGUUAUUUUUCUAAUCUGAAAUGAAUGUCUAGAGGUUCUAUUUGAUGAUGACAUAGAUAUCAUAAUUGAUGCUUUUCAAAGUAGGACAUAUAAC